CACGUAGGGCGCGAGCGUUGUCCGGAAUUAUUGGGCGUAAAGAGCUCGUAGGCGGCCUGUUGCGUCCGCUGUGAAAGCCCGGGGCUUAACCCCGGGUCGGCAGUGGAUACGGGCAGGCUAGAGGUAGGUGAGGGAGAAGUGGAAUUCCCAGUGUAGCGGUGAAAUGCGUAGAUAUUGGGAAGAACACCAGUGGCGUAGGCGACUAGCUGGGCCAUAACUGACGCUGAGGAACGAAAGCCAGGGGAGCGAAUGGG
rnacentral:rRNA from 1 species